CACGUAAGGGGCAAGCGUUGUCCGGAUUUAUUGGGCGGAAAGAGCGUGUAGGCGGCCAUACAGGUCCGUUGUGAAAACUGGAGGCUCAACCUCCAGACGUCGACGGAAACCGUAUGGCUAGAGUCCGGAAGAGGAGAGUGGAAUUCCUGGUGUAGCGGUGAAAUGCGCAGAUAUCAGGAAGAACACCCGUGGCGAAGGCGGCUCUCUGGGACGGUACUGACGCUGAGACGCGAAAGCGUGGGGAGCGAACAGG
rnacentral:rRNA from 1 species